GCCGGAGCCGGAUCCCUCGGCUUGUGGGGAGGUGUGCAGGGAGAGGCGCGGGCGGGAACGGGGCUGCGCGCUGCGCUUGCGGGCCAGCGAGAGUUCCGGGUGGGCGGGGGCUCAGCUGGCCUCGCUCUCGGAAAAGCCGGUCGGCGCCGCCCGCCACGGGCGGUGAGGGGCUUAGCACCCGGGCCAGCAGCUGUGGAGGGUUCGCCGGGUCCCCCAGCAGUGCCAGCACUGCGCUCGAAUUCUCGCCGGGCGUCAGCUGCCUCCCCGUAGGGCAGGGCUGGGGACCUGCAGCCCACCAUGCCCGAGCCUCCCCCUGGCCGUGGGCUCCUGCGCGGCCCAGCCUCCCCGACAAGCGCCGCCCCCUGCUCCGCGGCACGCCGGGUCCCAUCGACCGCCCAAGGGCUGAGGAGUGAGGGCGCAGGGCGCGGGACUGGCGGGCAGCUCCACCUGCAGCCCGGUUGGGGGAUCCACUAGGUGAAGCCAGCUGGGCUCCUGAGUCUAGUGGGGAUUUGGAGAACCUUUGUGUCUAGCUAAGGGACUGUAAAUACACCAAUCAGCACUCUGUGUCUGGCUCAAGGUUUGUAAAGGCACCAAUCAGUGCUCUGUGUCUAGCUAAUCUAGUGGGGACUUGGAGAACUUUUGUGUCUAGCUCAGGGAUUGUAAACGCACCAAUCAGCACCCUGCAAAACGGACCAAUCAGCUCUCUGUAAAACAGACCAAUCAGCUCUCUGCAAAAUGGACCAAUCAGCAAGAUGUGGGUGGGGCCAGAUAAGGGAAUAAAAGCAGGCUGCUGGAGCCAGUAAUGUUGACACCCUCGGGUUGUCUUCUGUGGUGUGGAGGCUUUGUUCUUUUGUUCUUUGUGAUAGAUCUAAUUGCUGCUCACUCUUUGGGUCUGUACUGCGUUUAUGAGCUGUGACACUCGCCGUGAAGGUCUGCAGCUUCACUCCUGAACCAGCGAGAGGAGGAACCCACCAGAAGGAGGAAAACGCGGAACACAUCUGAAUAUCAGAAGGAACAAACUCCAGACACGCCGCCUUUAAGAACUGUAACAGUCACCGCGAGGGUCCGUGGUUUCAUUCUUGAAGUAAGUGAGACCAAGAACCUGCCAAUUUCAGACACAAUGGAGAGCGCCAGUCCUGCUGCGGGGCCAUACAUCUAUUUAAUUUCCUCUCAUCUUCCCCCCGGUUCCGAGAGGAAGGUGCUUUCACCUGCACUGUUCCCAUGAGGAAACGAGGCUUCAGGAAUCUGAUAAAGCUUCCAAACUCCCGUGGCUGGCAGGAACCAAGGUUUCGAUGGCCGGACUUCUCAGCCCCCCAGGUGGAAAAGCAGGAGGCAUGACAGAUGAGGGUGAGAGUGCAUGCCAGGUCAGGCUGAGAAGGCGACAAUGCCAUAUGGUUUUUUCCACUUAGCUUAGCUCCAGGAUGACUUUGAACAGUGUUACAGCCCCAUGGGCAGAAAAUUGCACUUGCCUCAAGCUUCAUUAAAGCAAAUCGAGUCAGAAGGGAUUGAAACACCUGGAAGAAAUGCAAUGGAUUCAAACAGGGAAAAGGUGUGGGUCCGUCCCUUUUCCUGGUAAAUCCAGCAGCCUAGGAGAUGUCAGAAAAACAUUCCAAGGUUCCUGGACUUUUAAAGAGGCUAAGGAUGGGGCCUGCCAGGUACAGGAUGGCCCAUGCAGGUGGAGAUGCAGCCACAGGAUACCUGGGAUUCAUUGCAGCCUCGUCACUUACCAGUGUUGGCACUGUAUCGGUUAUCCCGAAUUUAACAGCCUAAAGCCACAUUCGUCAUCUUAUACUCUGUGGGGGUAGGGAAUCCAGGAGUGGAUUCACCAGGAGGUUCUGGCUGGGUGUCUCCCCGGAGCCGCAGGCGAGUGUGGGCCGUGGCAGCCAUCCCUGUUUCCAAGUGCACCAUGUGGCAGUUGGCUUGAGGCUCCAGGUCCUUGAGGUGCAGGCUUCCCCACGGGGCUGCUCGCGGCAUGGCUUCCUCACCCAGAGUGAUGGAUCCGAGAGAGAGCAGCCAAACUGAAAGCCACAGCCUUUUGUAAGCAAACCUCAGAAGUGACAUCUCGUCACAUCUGCCAUAUUCUACUGGUCGCACAGACCUAUCCUGCUACAUGGAAGGAGCAGCAGGAAGGUGGUGGGGAUUGCUGGGACCAUCUUGGAGGCUGCCACAGACAUCCAAGCCCCUCCAGGCAGGACAAACCAGGAUGAGAGGACAGUGUCGGGUGUAGCUGCCACCACCCAGUGUCGUCCAAGGAAAAUGGAGCAACCACAUCCUGCAUGGCAACACCAGGUGGCCAAGCCAGAUCGUGUGACCACUCGACGCUUCCCACCCACAGCAAAGAGGUGAGGCCUGGUGCCCAGCAGAGAGCAGCCCAGCCUACGGGGGACAGGAGCAGGUACAGGCCACGUCCUCAACCUCAGGGAAGACACCAAAGACCCAAGGGGCUGGGACAGACAGGCUGCCCAAGAGGGGUGAGGUUUGCUGAGGGGCCUGCAGCUGCUCGGGUGCCCCCAAAUGACUAAGUUCUGAUUAUAAUCCCAUGGGGUCAUCACUGCAGGUUAGGGAACACAGGAGGUGGUUUCACAACACACUCCCGCAUGGACAGCAGCCCCCACGCCAUCAAUCACCCUGUAGGCUCCACUUCAUGGGUAACUGGAAUUCAAAGAUAAUUAUGACCGUGCACUUUCCGCUCAGUAAGAUCUGAAGAUGGCUGGGCUGACACUCCGAGUGCAGGCUCUGCUGAUUCUCACGCACGUACAAGAAAGACUUCUUUUCGGUAAAGAAAGGAAGGAAAGCGCUGCAGGUUCCACCAGAGGCUUUUAUUUCAGCCACUCAGGACCCUGGCUUUCUGCUCCAAGGCACUGAACACAGUCAGGCUCUUCUAAACACU
rnacentral:lncRNA from 10 species